AAGCAAACACAAGAGAUGGCAGGAAAAGUAGGGCCAGUGGCAGAUUUUGUGGAAAGAGCUCUAGCUUAUGAAUCAAUCGAGGUUGGGAACUAUUUGAAGACGGUCGAACUAUUGAGCUCACAUCAGUUUGGAUUCAAGGAUGUUGUUGCUCAAACCAAAGCUUAAUGUACUUCUUAGCUUGGUCGGCUUGCAUUACAGUAUCAUUUGCUUGAAAUCCCGUAUAUAUGGUGAAGGUAAAGAAGACAACAUUGGACAUAUUGGUUGAUGCAUCACAUAUUGAAGGAACGAAGGAGCAACAAGUGUUAACUCAUUUGAAUGUUAGGAUUGGACUUAUUUGGUAAUGGAUCGACAAAUGUUAACUCAUUUUAAUUAUAGUUAUUGUUAGGAUUUAACUUAUUUUGUAAUGGAUGUGGUAGAAUUGAUUGAAUUGAAUUUGAGUUGUAAUGAAUGUUGAAAUUUUAAUCAUGAUUAUGUUAUAAAUGAAAAUAA